GUGCAGCAGGCGCGAAAACUUUACAAUGCGGGAAACCGUGAUAAGGGAACCUCGAGUGCUGGCGCAUAGCGUCGGCUGUCCAGAUGCCUAAAAGCAUCUGAUAGCAAGGGCCGGGCAAGACCGGUGCCAGCCGCCGCGGUAACACCGGCGGCUCGAGUGGUGGCCACGUUUAUUGGGUCUAAAGCGUCCGUAGCCGGCUCGGCAAGUCCCCUGGGAAAUCUGGCGGCUCAACCGUCAGGCGUCCAGAGGAUACUGCU
rnacentral:rRNA from 1 species